rnacentral:lncRNA from 1 species
CCUCAACGGCGCCACGCCAUUGGCCGACGCCGCCCCACGUGCCCUAACGCUCCGCAGCGUCGCCCCGCCCACUGCGCGGCCUGUCCCCACCCCCUCGGUGCCCGGCGGCUCGUGUGCGGCCCAUUUGCCCAGGUCUGGAGGGUUUGGCGGGGCCGGCAGGAAGGAAGCCGCGGAGCGGACGCGGUGGGCGUGUGGGAUAGAGACGACGCGGGUGACCAGGUCGCAGCCGCUGGGCGUGGGCAGGGCGGAGAGCGGAGGACACUGAGGAGCCGGAGUGCACAUGUGAAACGUAUGGCCACUGUUCUGCAGCCGUCCAGGCACGAAAGGUGCUGUCCCGUGAGCCGGCUCGCGGCGACACUUGUGCAGAGCCGGGGAGGCCCGGGACCGCGCGAGCGGCGGUUUCCUUUGGCCAUUAGGCCCCGCCCACGAGGGCAAUUCCGCCGGCUCUAGGACAGGCUCCGCCCACCGCAUGCCUCGGGGGCGGGUCCACUGAGGCUCCGCCCACGGGCCCCACACCUCUCCCUUCGUCCCCGCCCACGCAAGCAAAGGCGCUCGGUCCCGAGCAGGCUCCACCCACCGCGGUCCAGGGUGGAGACCACCGAGUCCCCAGGAGCCCACGUGCCAAGGUUCACGCAAGACCCACCCCCAAGGCCAAGCCGGCUUCCCCGGCAUAGGCACCGCCCACCUUACGUCUUGGGGACUGGAUCCACCGGGGCCGCGCCCGUUUGCUGCGCAUCUACCUGCACGCCCCGCCCAUCGGCCCGGCCCACCGAAGCAAGCCGGCUCUUUCCCGGUUCUGCUGCAACUGGGCGACCCUGGACCGUUGGGAUUUUUGUGGUCUGAUUUGCAUAUGGUCAUAAGUCUGUAAGAAAACUGCAUCAUAGAGACCAGGGAUCACUCGAUUCUCUGCCUUCCCUGGUAGCUCUUUAUCGAGGGAACAGGCUUAGCUCUCUAAUUCGCUACUUCCACUGACCUUUAUUGGACAUCCCAUAUUGAUGGAGCGCGCUAGCAAGUAGACGCUCGCUCACUCGGAUGAUUUAGGAGCUGCCUUCGUCGAACCCAGGGCCUUGAGCAUGCCAGGCAAAUGCCAGGUCCCUCAGCUACAUACAUGCUCAGCCUAAGGCAGUGUAUUUUUUUUUUUUUUUUCUUUUGAGACGGUUUCUCUGUAUUGCUUUGGAGGUUGUCCUGGAAGUCGCUCGGUAGCCCAGGCUGGCCUCGAACUCAUAAUCCUCCUGCCUCUGCCUCUUUCAGCAAAUCCCACUGGCGUGUGCCACCACAACUGGCCAGUGUAUCCUCUUAACCCUUGUUUUUGUUUUGUUUUGUUUUGCCUUUGAAAAUGCCAAGCAAAGCAUUUCGGUUGUUCUCCCCAAAGUGCUGUACGAGAAAACAAACAAGAUCUGAAGGUGCUGAGGGAGGUUCUGAGAGUUUUGUCUGAGGGUGCACCUAGAUAAAAGUAAGCUUCAGGUAGGCAUGCCAGGCCAGAACGGUCGUAUUUGCAGAAGAAACCAUGAUUUCUCUCUUAAGUGGGCUAAUAAUUUCUCUAAAACAAAUGGUUAAAGCACAAAAAAACAAAAACAAACAAAAAAACAGUGCCUGGUAUUAAUUUGACAUUAACAAAAACAAAACAAAAACAAAUGCAACUUAGCAUGGUACAAAUCCCAAUCAGAAAGGAGUAGAUCUGAAGCUAUUGCAUUUGGGCCAUGGAAUGAAAAGGAGUGUGGGCUUCUCAGAGAUUAAGUCAGUGCUGCCAAAGUCCCCGUACCACCGUGCAUGGUCCAGAGUGGCACAUCCUUGAUCCGUUUGACAGACACUUGGCUGUACAUCCCCGAUGCAAACCACUGCACAAAAAACUUUCCUUUUUGGUGGCAGGGAGUCUCCCUUGUCCUCUGGUAAUUUGCAGGCCUGGAUGGAAACAAGAAACCCUGUGUCACCCUGCAGGAGACAAGUCUGCAAGGGAAGCGGUGGGGAUGGUAUAGCCCAGGACACAAUAAAGUGGGGUGCAGGAUGUUUUGCUGCUGGAGAGGAGAUGGGAAGGACAGUCUCUGAUUGGACGGGAACGGCUUGCUGGGGAGCUGGGCUUGCCUCCCAGUGCAGCGAGGAUGCUAGAGUUUAGCUGGAUAUGAACACCUUUUCAUUUCCUCAAGACGGGAACAUGUCAUCCUGCCAGGAGGCUCUCUAAACAGGAAGUGCUGUGGAGGGAUAUUUUUUCAGGCUGACUUUUUGUGACUUCCCAGAGCUGUGCUGAGUAAAACUCCAGGGGACCCUGGCUAUCUUAGGAGUGGAACUACUGACUGCAGGGUUUAAUGCUGUUAAGUUUGGAGUGCCCCUGGAAGGAGACUAAUACCCAACCCUGCUAUAGACUGAGCUGGGAGCCUCUUUGAGGGGUUCUGGGAUUCGGCUCCUUGUCUCCUGGAUGCAAAGUUCAAGUUCUUUCUGCAGUGCACACAGAGGACAUUGUGGUGCUGAGGCCCCUGGACACUCCUGUCUUCAGCCUCUGUGCUGGGUGGUUUUAUGUCAACUUGACACAAGCUGCAGGAUUCUGAAAGGAGGAAACCUCAACUGAGAAACUACUUCCAUGAGAUCUGUCUUAGGCCUUUUCUUCAUUAGUGAUUGAUGGGGAGGGCCCAGCCCAUUGUGGGCGGGGCCAUCCCUGGGCUGGUGGUCCCGGCUUCUAUAAGAAAGCAGGCUGAGCAAACCAUGAUGAGCAAGUCACUAUUGGUGAUGAGAAAAGUCUGCAGUAAAUGUCCCUGGCUUUUGAACUUCAUCUGGACCUGCUUCCUGAAGAAGCCAGCUUGCAAACACACACACUGGAGACCAGAUCCCUUGAGUGUCAGCCAGUUUGCCAGGGAAGCAAGGGGCUGGUUUCACCCUUGUAACUGGAGAGGUGGACUGUGCUUUGGCAGUGUGACUGAUUGGUGUCCUUUGUGGCUGUCUCAUGGGGAUGACUUCCUUUGCCUGUCUGUGGAGGU